UGAGUUUUUCAAAUGGUUUAUUGAUUUUUUGUAAAUACAGUUUGAACAAAACAAACACGUCUCUGUUUAAAACAACAGAACAAACACAAACACACACACACACACACUUCCACUGGAAGAACAGGACGCACCGGAUCAGGUCUGUGCAGAGGCGAGCACAGACUAAAUAUAUGUGACAGGUCAGGUCUGUGCAGAGGCGAGCACAGAGUAAAUAUAUGUGAAUAUGUGUAUCUGAUUCAUUUGAUUCAUUUGAUUCAUUCACUGUCUCUGAGUCGAGUCGCUGUGAGGGAGGAUUCAUGCUAACGACACACCUCCUGCUGUUCCUGUUAAAUGCUAAUGGGAGGGCAUCUGAGACAAAAAGAUAAAGACGCCCCUCCCACCCCACACCUCCCCCGAACGAGGAGCUCCACCUCCAACCGAGAAACAAACUCCAACCGACAACGACAUGGAGCGUUUGAAUCACAGACACAAGAAAGGCUAACAGAGCCGCUAGCUAACAGAGCCGCUAGCUAACAGAGCCGCGAGGUAACAGAGCCGCGAGGUAACACACUGCAGACACGUUUAUGUUUUUUUUACCUUGUAGAUGAUUUGACUUUGUUGGACAUAUUUUGUCCUGUUUUUAAAAUAUAUUUGUUGUGUCAUUUCAAAACAAAUAAAAAAAAAAAAGUUGAAAUAAUGGAGUGACUUGAGUUUUUGUUUAAACUAAAUGUUGAUCCAAACAGAGUCAGUGCUGCUUUUUUACAGUGUGUCGAGUGUGUUCAGACUGUGAUGUCACUGCAGAUGGGGUCAGAGGUCACACUGGACUCACCGUCACACGUCCUAAAGGUCAAAGCACAAAUGUUGAACCUGAUCAUUUCUGUGAGACUAGAAUCAUGACGUUUCAUCUGAGUCAGAAAUGAGACGACGUCAUCACGUGUGAGACGUGAUGAUGUCAUCACGUGUGAGACGUGAUGAUGUCGUCACGUGUGAGACGUGAUGAUGUCGUCACGUGUGAGACGUGAUGAUGUCGUCACGUGUGAGACGUGAUGAUGUCGUCACGUGUGA
ensembl:lncRNA